ensembl:antisense_RNA anr-10 ncRNA
CAAAUUAUCCGGAUGUACAGAAUCCGCAGGUUCUUGGACAUUGAGCACGCAUGACGGAUUGGUAGGCUGAGUUGUUGCAAAGACCAAUGUUGGAUGCACAAUCAGAUCUUCCGGUGGCUGGGUUGACUCUGUCGACACAUGCUGGAAGAUUUUCAAGAUUGGUUUUAGAAAGUAACGAAUGCUUGUGUUAUUGUUGAAAAUCUAUGGCCGUACAUUUUUUAGAUAAUACAGUAGAUUGUUUUACCUUAGAAUCGGAUGUUUCAGAUUUUUUUGGACAGUUGUUUUCUCUUUUUUUAAAUAAACAAGUAGUUA